rnacentral:rRNA from 1 species
GACGAACGCUGGCGGCGUGCCUAAUACAUGCAAGUUGAGCGAUGAAGAAUGGUGCUUGCACCAAUUUGAAGAGCAGCGAACGGGUGAGUAACGCGUGGGGAAUCUGCCUUUGAGCGGGGGACAACAUUUGGAAACGAAUGCUAAUACCGCAUAACAACUUUAAACAUAAGUUUUAAGUUUGAAAGAUGCAAUUGCAUCACUCAAAGAUGAUCCCGCGUUGUAUUAGCUAGUUGGUGAGGUAAAGGCUCACCAAGGCGAUGAUACAUAGCCGACCUGAGAGGGUGAUCGGCCACAUUGGGACUGAGACACGGCCCAAACUCCUACGGGAGGCAGCAGUAGGGAAUCUUCGGCAAUGGACGAAAGUCUGACCGAGCAACGCCGCGUGAGUGAAGAAGGUUUUCGGAUCGUAAAACUCUGUUGGUAGAGAAGAACGUUGGUGAGAGUGGAAAGCUCAUCAAGUGACGGUAACUACCCAGAAAGGGACGGCUAACUACGUG